GAUGAACGCUAGCGGCAGGCUUAAUACAUGCAAGUCGAGGGACAGCACAGGUAGCAAUACUGGGUGGUAACCGGCAAACGGGUGCGGAACACGUACACAACCUUCCUUUAAGUGGGGGAUAGCCCAGGGAAAUUUGGAUUAAUACCCCGUAAUAUAGUUGAAUGGCAUCAUUUGAUUAUUAUAGCUACGGCGCUUAAUGAUGGGUGUGCGGCUGAUUAGAUAGUUGGCGGGGUAACGGCCCACCAAGUCUACGAUCAGUAGCUGAUGUGAGAGCAUGAUCAGCCACACGGGCACUGAGACACGGGCCCGACUCCUACGGGAGGCAGCAGUAAGGAAUAUUGGUCAAUGGACGCAAGUCUGAACCAGCCAUGCCGCGUGAAGGAUUAAGGUCCUCUGGAUUGUAAACUUCUUUUAUUUGGGACGAAAAAGGGCCUUUCUAGGUCAACUGACGGUACCAGAUGAAUAAGCACCGGCUAACUCCGUGCCAGCAGCCGCAGUAACAC
rnacentral:rRNA from 1 species